AGCACUUCGUAUCUAUGCAUUAAUUGAUGUAACAUUUGUAAUAUGGAAGAAAGCAAAACAGCGUUACUGCAGAGACAAACAGUGACACCAAUAAUAGUAACUGAGAUGUAUGACAUUAAAUAUCCUCUUUGUUCACUGUCUAGUGUAAUUAAAUGCUGACAUUAAAAACCCCUUAAACACUUAUCAAAAUCUGAAUCAAAAAUGAAUUUGAUCUGAAAUCAUGAGACUGCUGUGAGGGAGGCGCUGCAUCUAUUAAAACAUGCUAUAUCAUUUUUCACCUACUGAGAACAAGAUUCUCAACUGCCCUCUGUGUAAAUUCCUGCUUAUAGGGAGAG